AUGAACGCUGGCGGCGUGCCUAAUACAUGCAAGUCGAGCGAACAGACGAGGAGCUUGCUCCUCUGACGUUAGCGGCGGACGGGUGAGUAACACGUGGAUAACCUACCUAUAAGACUGGGAUAACUUCGGGAAACCGGAGCUAAUACCGGAUAAUAUAUUGAACCGCAUGGUUCAAUAGUGAAAGACGGUUUUGCUGUCACUUAUAGAUGGAUCCGCGCCGCAUUAGCUAGUUGGUAAGGUAACGGCUUACCAUGGCAACGAUGCGUAGCCGACCUGAGAGGGUGAUCGGCCACACUGGAACUGAGACACGGUCCAGACUCCUACGGGAGGCAGCAGUAGGGAAUCUUCCGCAAUGGGCGAAAGCUUGACGGAGCAACGCCGCGUGAGUGAUGAAGGUCUUCGGAUCGUAAAACUCUGUUAUUAGGGAAGAACAAAUGUGUAAGUAACUAUGCACGUCUUGACGGUACCUAAUCAGAAAGCCACGGCUAACUACGUG
rnacentral:rRNA from 1 species